CCGAUGAAACUAAUUUCCUCGGUAAAUAGGCUAUACCGACAAAAUUAUAAAAUUCCUCGGUAAAUACUGCAAUUUUUGGGGAGAAUUUUAACAAAUUCAUCUGCAGCAAUGGUUUUGGCCCCCCAAUCCCGCCAGUCCUCAAAUGGGAAAAUAAAUGAAAAUACAAUUAUGUUUCUCCUUUCUCUUCAUUUUUCAUCUCUUUAUUUUUCGUUUGCAUUACUUUGGAGUUUUCGACUUUCUCGGUGACCUUUCUCUUCAAAGGUAGCCAAUCUUCUGGAUGUUUGUGUCGUUCUGGUUGUUGGCGUUCGGGCGCCGAUCAGACAACGUAGACUUGGGAACAGCAUGUGGCAAAUAUUGAAUUUGAAAAUUGGUGAAGUGAUAAAUGAAUGAAGAAUGCACUGGCAAUGAAUGAUGAGUCAUGCGGGCUCAGUGGGACAUUGAAACAAGAAACGAGGAGUGCUGGUCGCCGGUUGUUGCUGUUCUGCAGGUUGUGAAAAUUACAAGGAUGGAGAAUUUUUUGCACCAACUACCUGCAGAAAUGCAUUGCGGGUGCUACGUGCUAUGCAGCUUCCAAAGCCUGGUAUGCUUUGAUGUUGGUACUUCUUUUGUAUGGUUUCAAUUGGCUCAAAAUUUUGCUGCUUAUAUAGUCUUGAAUCUCAAUAUUUGACUCCCUUAAUUUUGCUCAUGCGUUCCAGUAUAAUAGUGAUUUGGGUGCAGGUGAGGCCAAUAUCUGGAUUUCUUGUUUGCAAGCUUCUAAAUUUGCCAUCCCAUUAUGCAGCUGGUUUAAUAUUGGUUGGGUGCUGCCCUGGCAGUGGGUCUGCUAAUCAUUGUAGACAUACUUUCUAAUACAUUUUUCAAGCCUCUUUAUUUAUUAUUGUUUUGACUCGAGGGCUGCAGGCACAGCUAGUAACAUCGUGAUAUAUAUUGCUCAGUAUGUGAAUUCUCAGCAAUACUAUUAUCAGAAUUUAUUAUAUAUACAUGUAUAUUUUUUUUCCUCUGACCACAAGAUCUGAUGACUUUGUUUUUUCAAUGGAAAUGUAGCACUCUCAGUUUUAAUGAUGGCAGCAAGCAAUUUAGCAGCUGUGGUUUGUAAACCAACGUUUGCCUCUUUCCUGUAUUCUCUACUCUUGGGUGGCAAAUGGGUGGAGUAGAAUUUAACAUGCUCCAAUUGAAUGUGUACAAUGAGCUAGUUCUUGUUGCAUUCCUUUUAAGCUUUAUCCAUUUGGAACAAUUAUAAUGAUUUCAAAAUGGUCAUUGACUAUCUCUUUUGCUGGUAACAGAAAAUAGGAAAUUGGAAGUCCUGUAAUUUCUAUGUGAAUCCUGUCAAGUUUAACUUCAAAUCUUCUUCUGUUAAAUUCUCUCUGCUUUAAAGGGACCGCUGUUUGCUGGAAAGGUUUUAGGUCACAGUAUGUUUAGUUAGCUCCUUAAAAAGUUUAGUUUCUUUCUGUACUCUACUUUCAAGUAAACUCGUCUUCUUUCACUUUUUUUUGUAGUUCAUGACCCCUCUUCUCACAGCCAAACUUGCUGGGCAAUAUGUUGCAGUAGAUGCAGCUGUUACUGGUCUCAACACUGCAGGUUGUGCUUCUUCCUGUGUUGGCUGGUGCUUUUAUGAAUCAUUACUUCCAAGGCCUGGUUAAAUUUGUUUCCCCCUUGAUGCCACCCAUCGCCAUGGGAACUGUGGCUGUUCUUUGCGAAAAUGCAAUUGCCCAGAGUUCCUCCGCUAGCCUUAUGUCCGGACAACAAGUGUUACUAGCUGCCUCUCUUCUUUGGAUAUGUACUUGCACGGAUGCUAAGGAGUGAUGGAUCAUCAUCAACGACCAUCUCCAUUGAGGUUGGCAUGCAGAUGCUACGGUCGGAACUAUAAUCAAUCAACCUAGAUGAAUGGAUUGCAAACAGGUGAACACAUUAGAACUGUUCAGAAUGAUAUUUUGGUAAUUUUAUUAUAUGUUUUAAAAAAAUUCCAUCUUUAAAAUGUCUAUAACAAUUUUAGUUAUCAAUUAAAAGGUUUUCAAUUUAUAAAUUUCAAAAUUUCUAGUACAAAGUAAUUAUUAUAUAAUUAAAAUAUUCUCACCAUGACUAAUUUUU